rnacentral:rRNA from 1 species
AUGAAACUAGUGGCAUCGAACUGUCGCGGGCAUGGGAACCCGACGGCAGUUCGUAGCCUCCUGGAGCUUCAGGGGGUUGAAGAGCCUGACAUUCUCUUCUUAUCAGAAACAAGACUGAUAGAAAGGGAGUUGGACAGUCUGAGGUGGCGAUUGGGUAUGCCAAACAUGGUGGUAAAGGACGCGGUUGGUCGGAGCGGUGGUCUCGCACUGCUCUGGAAGAGAGGAGUGGAUGUACAGCUGAGGUGGAAGGACAAGUACUACAUUGACGCAGAAGUUAGGGAAGAAGAUGGC